UGAUGAUGAACUAAUGGGUGUUGGUUCAAGUGGUACAUACUUGAUUUCCCAAGAUGUUUGAGUCUUGUGAAUGGAAAAAAUGCUCGUUGGGAAAGUUAGCUCCACAUACUUGUGGAUGUUCCCGGCUCGGACAAGAUUGUCUCCAGUGCGAGGAUACUUGUAAGAAACAAAAAAAAGGAUAUUGAUGAGAAAUAAAGGGGAGAG
rnacentral:lncRNA from 1 species